AACUUAAGCAUAUCAAUAAGCGGAGGAAAAGAAACCAACAGGGAUUGCCUCAGUAACGGCGAGUGAAGCGGCAACAGCUCAAAUUUGAAAUCUGGGUCUUUCAGGCUCCGAGUUGUAAUUUGUAGAAGAUGCUUCGGAUGUGGCUCCGGUCUAAGUCCCUUGGAACAGGGCGUCAUAGAGGGUGAGAAUCCCGUAUGUGACUGGCUGCCUCCGUCCAUGUGAAGCUCUUUCGACGAGUCGAGUUGUUUGGGAAUGCAGCUCAAAAUGGGUGGUAAAUUUCAUCUAAAGCUAAAUAUUGGCCAGAGACCGAUAGCGCACAAGUAGAGUGAUCGAAAGAUGAAAAGCACUUUGGAAAGAGAGUUAAACAGUACGUGAAAUUGUUGAAAGGGAAGCGCUUGCAAUCAGACUUGCGCGCCGUUGAUCAUCCCUGGUUCUCCAGGGUGCACUCGGCGGCGCUCAGGCCAGCAUCGGUUUUGGUGGUGGGAUAAAGGCCUUGGGAAUGUAGCUCCUCUCGGGGAGUGUUAUAGCCCUCGGUGCAAUGCCGCCUACCGGGACCGAGGACCGCGCUUCGGCUAGGAUGCUGGCGUAAUGGUUGCAAGCGACCCGUCUUGAAACACGGACCAAGGAGUCUAACACUUAUGCGAGUGUUUGGGUGUUAAACCCAUACGCGUAAUGAAAGUGAACGGAGGUGAGAACCCUUAAGGGUGCAUCAUCGACCGGUCCUGAAGUUUACGGACGGAUCUGAGUAAGAGCAUAAUUGUUGGGACCCGAAAGAUGGUGAACUAUGCCUGAAUAGGGUGAAGCCAGAGGAAACUCUGGUGGAGGCUCGCAGCGGUUCUGACGUGCAAAUCGAUCGUCAAAUUUGGGUAUAGGGGCGAAAGACUAAUCGAACCAUCUAGUAGCUGGGUUCCUGCCGAAGUUUCCCUUCAGGA
rnacentral:rRNA from 1 species